GAAACACACCCAGUCACGAUCAAGGCAGUGAAUAGACAAGAUAAAACCAAGAAGCUAUUCCUGGGACAUAUCUCUGAGUUCCAUUAUGUGAGCCUGAAUGAACUAGGACAAAUUUGCAGGGAUUGUCACUUGGAGUUGUCGGUGUGCCAAUGCGUGGACAACAUUAAUGCAAGUGACACAAGAUCAUCCCCACCUGGUUAUGGCAGUGAA